UAAAACCACUACGGAAAGUAGAAACCAUACCUUCUGUCAAAAAGACAUGUUUUCCAAUCUAAAAUUCAAAACCCUACAUCCCCAAAUAUUCAUCAUCGUCAUCGUCAUCGUCCUGUAAGUCCUCUUCUCCGGUAAGAUCCCCAAAUAUAAUCACCAAUUUCUUCCAUUUUCAAUCCAUCACUUCCAUAAUCGCACAAUCUUCACAUUUUCAUUCCAUACAUCUUCCAAUUUAUUGAUCAAUAACCAGAUCAGAUCAUGAAUCGCAACUACGAUGAAUUACUGGACGAAAUUUGGGAGCUAAUACUGAACCAAUUAGGAGAUAAUCAUCAUCAACAAUUCGAAUAACUUUCAUUGGUAAGCAAAUUAUUAUUGUCGUUAACCGAUCGGUUACGCCGCCAUUUCACCGUCGUAGAUCAGACGUAAGUCGUUCACGGUAUGAUUUCUGGAUUCAUUUACCGAUUCAAAAACCUAAAAACCCUAGAUAUUAGUUAAUUGCAAAACUGUAACGUAGAAACUGCUAUUCAUGAGAUUGCUCGUACGUCUGUUGCUUUGAAUUUAGAAUCUAUUGAUGUUUCGAUUUAUGUUUUGGUUCUGAUUGAAGAAGUUAGGGUUGAGUAAUAGGAAAAUUAAGGUGUUGAGAUGUGCGAAUGUUGAUAAGUUACGUGAUGUUGAUUUGAUAAAGCGAAGUUUCUGUUGUGAUUUGAUAUUCACAACUAAACAACAAUACGAAUAUGAAUGUAAUCUGAUAGGUCUCUAUUGAUUUUGAGUGAUUACAAACAAGAAAUUGAAAGUGACAAAGAUAACAAUAGAAAGGGAUGGGAAGAUUAGAGCAUACAGAUAGGGAGAUGGGAAGAAGAACACACACUAGUUAAUAAUCUCGAUACCCUCUUCUUUGAUUCUAACAUCCGUUAUAACCUGCAAAGGUUCCUUCAUCUUGAUGGGCCUCUUGGACUAGGCUUCUUAAUUGGGCCUGCUGGCUUAGGUCCACCGACUUCAUAACAUUACCCUCCCCUUUUAAAUUCACCUUGUCCUCAAGGUGCAAGGCGGUAAAAGUUGUGAACAACCCGGAAGUGCAAGCAACUUCACUAGUCACAUAGGACAGUUGAGAGGGUCCAAGGUGUUGUGUACCCGACUUGUGAAAACGUUGUAGAAGUUGUGGUGCCUGACAAUGCGAUUGUAGCAGGAUGUAACAAGCUAUGUUUGGUGGCUGAUGUCCAUAAAGGGCUUCAAUAUUUGUUAAUGCACGGACCAAUUGUGCGGUUGCAAUACCAAAAUGAGUUAAAAGAAUGCCACCCCAAUAAGGAAGUGUGUUUAAUUCAAGGCAAAACCAACUGAUUUCAUCAACCCAUUUUUGCACAGAAGCAUAUUCAACCCAAUUAUACUUCACUUUUGUCAAAAGGGUCCUUGGUCGGAUAGCGUGUUCAAGCUCCAAUUCAGCAAUUAAAAUACGAUGUAGACGUUGCGCAUAACAGGUGACCAGCCACUGAGAAUGGUUAAGCCAAUACUCGUGUAGAGACCUCGUAAACCAUGGUGAUUUCCCAUAACCAGAUAGUAUCACAAUCACAAUAUAUAAUAGAAUAUCUUUUUCUUUUAAUUCGGCCUCAAGAAAGGUCAUGUAAGCUUGUUCCGAAGCUCCACAUUUUGAGUAUAUAUCAGUCACACCAAUUGCUAAAUCACUGUUUGAUAAAAGCCCCGAUCGUAUUAAAUUACCAUGAAAAUUAGGUACCUGCUGAAGAUUUGUUGUGAUAGCAUAAGCUGGUAAAACACACUUUAAAGUUUCCUCAUUUGGUAAUACACCUUUUAGCCUCUGUUCUUUGACUAAAAAUAUUGCUUCUUUAUCAAGUACAUAUAUCCUUGAGGUCCCUGUCACCACAUAUCUCUUACUAGUUUCAUUAAAAAUAGCUUGUGCAUAGAUUAUGUGACCACCUUUGACAAGGAUAGCCACCGUAGUAUGCCCAACUAAUAAAGCUUCAACCAAACUGUUAUUUUUCACCAAAUCAUCUAUCUCGUGUCCCACGUCCAACCAGGUUAUAGAUGCACAAGCAUAGAGAACUAAAAAAAUAGUGGCGUUAACAAGCACCAUCUUUUCAGCAAUCAUUUUGUUAAAAAGCAGCAAAGAGUCAUGCACCUCAUCUUGUUUUGUGAUAUGCACUUUCUUGAAUUCUGAUAUGUUCUCAACCAAAACAUGAUGGAGUUUUAAAACCUCAGUUGCAUUUUCAGUAAUGAUGCAUACUUGCUGAAGUGAAAUUACUGCACCCAUGAACAACAAAAGAGUUGGUUGUUGCAGCCUUUUCAUUACAUACACCUCUUGUAAAUACAGAAUGUUUUCAGCAGUAGCCCCUUCAACGUUGAAGAAAGUCAUUUUGAGAACUAGAAUUCCAUUGGCAACGAGUGUAAUGUUAUCUAUGAAAGUAUAACCCAUUGAAUCUCUACUGAACUGGAACUCAACUAAGAGCCACGGGGCACCACCCAAUUUACUCAAAAAAUUGCCGCAUUUGAAACUUGUUUCCAUGGAUGAGGAUGGUAACCCGUGUCCAUAAAACUUAACCAUUGUAUUGUAAACAGAAGUGGUACCAGUAGGUUUGUGGUUGUUUGGAUCAAUCACGUGGUGGAUUAGUGUCUUUUGAAAACGCGUAGUCCGGUAGUGCUUUUCGUCAAGUGUUAUUUGUUCGAUAAACAUGGUUCUUCCUGGCAACUGAGUAGUAAUAUGGACAGAUGUCCUGCCUUUCCAAAAAAGACGUUUACCCCCCACUUGAAACGUAAGCAUCACAACAUCUGUUCUAGUCGUGGUAACCACUCGAAUUGUGUGUAUACGAUUGUGCUUCGCCUUUGAUGGAACAAAUGCAGCAAGUUGGGCAGGACAUAACACCCAAAUAUGGUCAGAAUGCUGUAACACGUGAGCAAUAACAAUAGGAGUCGGAUCAUAAACCAAAGUAAGAGACCUAUGAAAAGCCAUACUAAAUGGUUCAAAUAUCUUAACAUCCUUCCGAAAAUAAGGCUUGUAAACAGAAAUGGAAUGAGAGAGAAAACCAAAUUCUGUCUCUUGAAAAGUUGAGCCACAAUGUGCAGCUAUGUUUACAGCGGUAUCUGUAGUACAGUUUGUAUGAGGGUCAGGGGGUGCCAGAUCCGCAUCCACAUGAAACAACUUAGAAACAUAAUCACGCAAGAAGGCAUUCCAUAUAAGCACUUUAUCGAACAAGUAAGCUGCAUGAAUGACCCUACACCCAGUUGUUUCCCACGAAAAAUGUAUUCUAAGAACCAAAUGAGAACCACAGCCCCAUGAAACAGCAAGCAAAAACAUCGCAAAAGGAGAAACAAAGUCACUAACAUAUCCAACGCGCUUGACAACUUGAAGAAAAUAAGGAAUUUCAACAUUCAUGAAACUAGCGGUAAAACUCAAAUCCAUUCCAAGCCAAUCAAUAACAAAGGGCAAACUAUGUCCAAGCAUUAACAGAGAAAGUUGUAACUGUGGUAAAUUAGUCAUGAAUGCAUCAUCUAAGGUUGUGCAAUUGUUUGACAUUUCAUCAAAUAGCUGUUGUGCACUAGUGGUGCUACCCAAGGAAGGAUCAUCUAUUCUCAGCUUAUGAUUAGAAAAUUUAUGUGCCAACAAAACCACAUCGAUAUGGUCAAGCAUUAUAAUAAGGUGAUUUGAAUAAAGCAUGUUAAGAAUAUACAGACCAGGAUCAAAACCGAAAUUCAUUCCUUGAACUUCAGUACAAUAAGGCAAAAGGAGACCAUCACUUACCAUAGCAGGUCUAGUCAAUGUGAAAUUCGGUGUAUGAGUAGCAGAAAUAGUGGAUUUCCUAGAAGAUAUAUGAACAAGAUUCGUAACCCAACCCGGUUUCCAUGCAAAGGAGUUAAGAACCAUUGAAUCAACUAAAAAACCAUCAUUACAAACGUUGGUUUCUACCAUAUCAUUCUCCUUUGAUACAUCUGCCAAGACUAAAGGUAGACAAGGUUUAACAUGUUCAAGCACAAAAUUAUAAUACCAUAUAUCCAAUUGGGCAUCCUUCAUUCCUCGUGACUCAUUAACAUUCACUACUGAUUCAGUUUGGAUUUCAGAUACCUCAUCAUUGAUGAUUUCAUGAACUUCAAUACCAUCAGGCAUUUCAUCGAACAACUUGAGAGCAGUUUUCGUGGAGGUCGGAGAACGGAAUCGGUGAAGCAUGGCAGUAGUGAAAUCGUUCCAUGUGAGGUCAUCGCUCCGAAACCAGGAAUUGAACCAGUAGAAUGGUUCAUCCUCAAAUACUUCAAUAACGUAUGAGAAGCGUUCAUCGCCAUAGAUUGAGUAAAAUCGAAAGUAUAGCUCGGAUUGAGAGAUCCACGAGUUAGGAUCAGAGCCAGUGAAACGAGGUAAUUGUGGUUCGAGAUCUUCCAAAGCCAUCGAUGCUAAGGAUCAAUGAAAGCACCAAUGUUGUGAUUUGAUAUUCACAACUAAACAACAAUACGAAUAUGAAUGUAAUCUGAUAGGUCUCUAUUGAUUUUGAGUGAUUACAAACAAGAAAUUGAAAGUGACAAAGAUAACAAUAGAAAGGGAUGGGAAGAUUAGAGCAUACAGAUAGGGAGAUGGGAAGAAGAACACACACUAGUUAAUAAUCUCGAUACCCUCUUCUUUGAUUCUAACAUCCGUUAUAACCUGCAAAGGUUCCUUCAUCUUGAUGGGCCUCUUGGACUAGGCUUCUUAAUUGGGCCUGCUGGCUUAGGUCCACCGACUUCAUAACAGUUUCCUCCGGAUUUGGAGGAACUAGAUGUAAAUUAUCCGCGUAACAAGCUUGAAAUUGAUGAGUUACGUAACGUUGAUUUGAUAUAGCGAAGUUUCAUCCAGAUUUGGAGGAAUUAGAUGUAAAUUAUCCGCGUAAUAAGUUUGAAAUUGAUGAGUUAUGUGAUUUUGAUUUGAUAUAGCGAAGUUUCAUCCAGUUUGAAGGAAUUAGAUGUAAGUUAUCCGCGUAAUAAGCUUGAAAUUGAUGCUUAGCGUAGUUAUAACAUUAGUGAAAUUAUGAUCACUGGUGCUGGAAUUAAAUGUUUGUGUUGUGGUUUGCGGAAUCUGAUUAAAAUUAAUAUCUCAAUGAAUCCUCUGCUUACAGAUAGGUCACUCUUUACAAAAAUCUGAUUUAGUUCUUGAUGAGAACUUUCAUAUUGUUAUUUCUUCAAGGUUUGUCUUUGAAGGGAGUGAUGAAGGUUCAAUUAGUUGGGCACUUGAUGGCGCAUUUUCAUAUUACCUAGCAUUUUCAUAACAUAUAAUUACUUCAUCUUACCAUUUAGUAUUCUUAGUUUCUUACCAUUUAGUAUUCAAAAAGUAUUAUAUGUUAUAACUAUAUCCAGUGACAUAAAUUAUUGAAGCUUAAUGAAGCAUAAGGAACUAGAGAUUAUGUAGAUGUUCUUCAUAUGUUUCAGUGAAUAUGUUCUAACUCUCUAUGUGAUCAAAUGUGUAAUCUCUCUUUUGAGCCAAGUCAAAUAAUACUCACUGGUAAAGAUGUUUGAUCUUGACAGUCGACACUCUAUUAUAGCCCUAAACCCGUGACCCAUUGGUGCCAGAGAUUGCUCACAUGUAAAAAACUUACGAGUCUGAGUACGAGGCCACUGCUCAUAGCUAGACACAUAAGUAUGCCAUGGGCUGAUCUCUUGAGUCUUGUUUGUAUUCUUGGAAUGUCUCAGUGAAGAAAUGGUUGUUAAGAUAUUUCACCUCAGCACAAAGAUGACAACACAAUAAUAGACUGUUGUUUGACCCGCUUGAAUUAUUGCUAAAACUUGUAUUCACAAGAUUUAUAUAUAUUCUGCUACUUCAACUUGCAUAUCUAAUAUUUCCUUUUCGCCACUGGCUACACACAAGGAACUUGUUAGCUAAUCCAAGGUUUACACUCGCCGUACGGGUUAGCACUUAGUAUCAUAAUUGACUUCAUCUUAAAGAGACCUGACUCACACUUUUCCUAAUAGAUACCUGGAUGGGUUAGAUUAUCAAAUUGCUAGGCUUGGAGCAAGUAUGCUAAACUGGAAAGAUCUUUGAGUGAAAAAAAAAAAUGGGCCCGAGCCCUAUUUGAGUCUAAAAUUGCACAACCUGCACUUGACAUGUCAGACUUGUGCAAACUCAAUAUAACAAAGUGCUCAGCGACUCAACUCGAUGUCCUGCAAGGGUUCGGAUAGGAACUGAAUUCGACAACUUUCCUUCAAGAGGCUUGUUCGUCAACUCUUGCUAUUCACACUACCAAACUGGAAUUCAAUAAAACAUGGCUAAGAAAUGAUUCUCCACUGUUGGGUGGCGCGGCUCGUGACCCUAGCCUAGUUCGGUAUAUGAAGCUGGAGCUAAGAAUACACCUGUUGCCUGAUUUUUCUAUUAGGAUGGUGUGCUGCUAAUAGUACUGCUAAUAAUGUAUUCACAAAAGAAUGAGAGCAGGUGACUCUAGGCAUGGCGAGUGCAUGGGGCCUUAAUGGUAAAUUUUGUUUUACUGCAGUUUUGGUAUACACAUUUAUUUUUCUGCUUAUAUAGGUGGAAAUACAAUUCAUAGUGUUCAGCCGGUUUAUGCAUUUACAAUCAACUUAAGUUGAUUCAUAAUUUAUCAUCUCCACCUCUACAUAACACUUGGAAGAGAAAUGGGAAAUUUGGGAUAAAAUCCGAAGUAUGGCUUCUUUCGUGACCUCGCUCUUAGUUGUCAUAUGAAAUUAUGAUUAUGAAGUUAUUGAUCUUUUUUUUUGUAAUUACAAUGUUUAUCAAAGACAAACGGAAGGCGACAAGCAUGAACAUGAUGGAUUAGCCACUUAAAAAAGUAGCAACUCCUGACGGGUCGCAUUUCGUUAAGGUAGAGGUAUCAUGAUUAUUUGUAGGCAGGAUCUUUGACAUUUUGUGCAGGCAGGAGGUCACAGGAACAUGGUAUAUGGCAUAGGAUCUUCGGAUCUGCAUUACAUGGUGACUGGGACGUCAUCCUCUUCUAGCGGAUGUGCAUCAUCAUCUGCUGAGUACCAACGGUCCCUAUAAGAGGCUCAAGCCAUGCGAGAACAAUUGGCAGACAUUCAAGGUCUCGUCUUGAAAAUGAGACAAAGGCAAGGAAAGUCUUAGAACUCAUCUUGAAAUUGAGAGAACGAGAGAAGAUCUUCAACAACACAUAAACGAAGCAGUGUAAAAAGAGUUGCACAACUUCAUGAAGAAUUGACGUCCUAGUAUUUAGUUAUCAGCUGGUAUCGUUUUAAACAUAUGCACGUUAAGAGUUUAUUUGUUUUGUGGUUUAGACGUACUAGAUCUUGCGUUAUGGAUGUUACAAGUUUGUUAGUUGUAUUGUGAUUUUAAAACAUGUUUUAUAAUUUCCGGUGAUUCAUAUUUGCAUUUUUUAGUAAAAUAAGAUCUGAAUACUUUUGGCC